AGAGUUUGAUCAUGGCUCAGGACGAACGCUGGCGGCGUGCCUAAUACAUGCAAGUCGAACGCACUGACGGAGAACUUGUUCUCCUGACGUGAGUGGCGCACGGGUGAGUAACACGUGGGAAACCUACCCUUCAGCGGGGGAUAACCAUCGGAAACGAUGACUAAUACCGCAUAGACGACAGAACCGCCUGGUUCAAUCGGGAAAGACGGCUUCGGCUGUCACUGAAGGAUGGUCCCGCGCUGCAUUAGCUAGUUGGUAAGGUAACGGCUUACCAAGGCGAUGAUGCAUAGCCGACCUGAGAGGGUGAUCGGCCACAUUGGGACUGAGACACGGCCCAAACUCCUACGGGAGGCAGCAGUAGGGAAUCUUCCGCAAUGGACGCAAGUCUGACGGAGCAACGCCGCGUGUGUGAAGAAGGUUUUCGGAUCGUAAAGCACUGUUAUUAGAGAAGAACAGCCGAUAGAGUAACUGUUAUCGGUUUGACGGCAUCUAACCAGAAAGUGACGGCUAACUACGUGCCAGCAGCCGCGGUAAUACGUAGGUCACAAGCGUUGUCCGGAUUUAUUGGGCGUAAAGGGAGCGCAGGCGGUUUGUUAAGUCUGAUGUGAAAGCCCACGGCUCAACCGUGGAACGGCAUUGGAAACUGGCAAACUUGAGUAUAGAAGAGGAAAGUGGAAUUCCAUGUGUAGCGGUGAAAUGCGUAGAUAUAUGGAGGAACACCAGUGGCGAAGGCGACUUUCUGGUCUAUAACUGACGCUGAGGCUCGAAAGCGUGGGGAGCGAACAGGAUUAGAUACCCUGGUAGUCC
rnacentral:rRNA from 1 species